rnacentral:snoRNA from 1 species
GAAACUCAUAUAGGUCUUGCUUUGAUACAGUUUGCUUUGAUUUGAUAAGCUAACUGUUACAUUAACCUUGUUGAAAU